ACAUGCAAGUCGAACGCGUUGGCCCAAUUGAUUGAUGGUGCUUGCACCUGAUUGAUUUUGGUCGCCAACGAGUGGCGGACGGGUGAGUAACACGUAGGUAACCUGCCCAGAAGCGGGGGACAACAUUUGGAAACAGAUGCUAAUACCGCAUAACAGCGUUGUUCGCAUGAACAACGCUUAAAAGAUGGCUUCUCGCUAUCACUUCUGGAUGGACCUGCGGUGCAUUAGCUUGUUGGUGGGGUAAUGGCCUACCAAGGCGAUGAUGCAUAGCCGAGUUGAGAGACUGAUCGGCCACAAUGGGACUGAGACACGGCCCAUACUCCUACGGGAGGCAGCAGUAGGGAAUCUUCCACAAUGGGCGCAAGCCUGAUGGAGCAACACCGCGUGAGUGAAGAAGGGUUUCGGCUCGUAAAGCUCUGUUGUUAAAGAAGAACACGUAUGAGAGUAACUGUUCAUACGUUGACGGUAUUUAACCAGAAAGUCACGGCUAACUACGUGCCAGCAGCCGCGGUAAUACGUAGGUGGCAAGCGUUAUCCGGAUUUAUUGGGCGUAAAGAGAGUGCAGGCGGUUUUCUAAGUCUGAUGUGAAAGCCUUCGGCUUAACCGGAGAAGUGCAUCGGAAACUGGAUAACUUGAGUGCAGAAGAGGGUAGUGGAACUCCAUGUGUAGCGGUGGAAUGCGUAGAUAUAUGGAAGAACACCAGUGGCGAAGGCGGCUACCUGGUCUGCAACUGACGCUGAGACUCGAAAGCAUGGGUAGCGAACAGGAUUAGAUACCCUGGUAGUCCAUGCCGUAAACGAUGAGUGCUAGGUGUUGGAGGGUUUCCGCCCUUCAGUGCCGGAGCUAACGCAUUAAGCACUCCGCCUGGGGAGUACGACCGCAAGGUUGAAACUCAAAGGAAUUGACGGGGGCCCGCACAAGCGGUGGAGCAUGUGGUUUAAUUCGAAGCUACGCGAAGAACCUUACCAGGUCUUGACAUCUUGCGCCAACCCUAGAGAUAGGGCGUUUCCUUCGGGAACGCAAUGACAGGUGGUGCAUGGUCGUCGUCAGCUCGUGUCGUGAGAUGUUGGGUUAAGUCCCGCAACGAGCGCAACCCUUGUUACUAGUUGCCAGCAUUAAGUUGGGCACUCUAGUGAGACUGCCGGUGACAAACCGGAGGAAGGUGGGGACGACGUCAGAUCAUCAUGCCCCUUAUGACCUGGGCUACACACGUGCUACAAUGGACGGUACAACGAGUCGCGAACUCGCGAGGGCAAGCAAAUCUCUUAAAACCGUUCUCAGUUCGGACUGCAGGCUGCAACUCGCCUGCACGAAGUCGGAAUCGCUAGUAAUCGCGGAUCAGCAUGCCGCGGUGAAUACGUUCCCGGGCCUUGUACACACCGCCCGUCACACCAUGAGAGUUUGUAACACCCAAAGUCGGUGGGGUAACCUUUUAGGA
rnacentral:rRNA from 1 species